rnacentral:rRNA from 1 species
UACACUCCUGCGGGAGGCAGCAGUGGGGAAUAUUGGACAAUGGGCGCAAGCCUGAUCCAGCCAUGCCGCGUGAGUGAUGAAGGCCCUAGGGUUGUAAAGCUCUUUCACCGGUGAAGAUAAUGACGGUAACCGGAGAAGAAGCCCCGGCUAACUUCGUGCCAGCAGCCGCGGUAAUACGAAGGGGGCUAGCGUUGUUCGGAUUUACUGGGCGUAAAGCGCACGUAGGCGGACUAUUAAGUCAGGGGUGAAAUCCCGGGGCUCAACCCCGGAACUGCCUUUGAUACUGGUAGUCUUGAGUUCGAGAGAGGUGAGUGGAAUUCCGAGUGUAGAGGUGAAAUUCGUAGAUAUUCGGAGGAACACCAGUGGCGAAGGCGGCUCACUGGCUCGAUACUGACGCUGAGGUGCGAAAGCGUGGGGAGCAAACAGGAUUAGAAACCCCAGUAGUCCCAU